ACCGCCAAGGAGCGUUGCGUUGAAUUUUUUUCAAUCAGGCUUGGCAAUCAGAAUCACUAGAACGACGCUCAUUUUUU
rnacentral:ncRNA from 2 species